rnacentral:rRNA from 1 species
UACGAGUGGCCCAAGCGUUAAUCGGAAUCACUGGGCUUAAAGGGUGCGCAGGCGGACUAGUAGGCAUUUUGUGAAAGCCCACGGCUCAACCGUGGAAUUGCAGGGUGAACCACUAGUCUCGAGGCAGGUAGGGGUCAGCGGAACUAUGGGUGGAGCGGUGAAAUGCGUAGAUAUCCAUGGGAACGCCGAUGGCGAAGGCAGCUGACUGGGCCUGUCCUGACGCUCAGGCACGAAAGCGUGGGUAGCAAACGGG